rnacentral:lncRNA from 1 species
UGGUCAAAGUAGAAAAAAGGGGGCACAGAACUGAAACUUUUAGACAUUGGAAUUCAAACAAUGGUUCAUUUGAAGUUAUUUUUGACAGUCAUUUCAUUUGCCAAACUAUGGAAAAAGACUGUUUUAUUUCAUUCAGUGGUAAAUUGUUGGGUAUAAAAGUGGAAAACUGCAAAGUAAAGCAGCGUGUUAGAUCCACAUGUUAUACCUUAGGUGAGC